rnacentral:tRNA from 1 species
ACCUGGCUGCCUCAGUUGGAAGAGGAUGUGACUCUUGAUCUCAGGGUCAUGAGUUCAAGCCCCAUGUUGGGUG